rnacentral:rRNA from 1 species
UACGUAGGGUGCAAGCGUUGUCCGGAUUUACUGGGCGUAAAGCGCGCGCAGGCGGACUGAUCAGUCUGGGGUGAAAUCUCCCGGCUCAACUGGGAGCGGUCCCUGGAUACUGUCAGUCUUGAGAGACCUAGAGGAGAGCGGAAUUCCCGGUGUAGUGAUGGAAUGCGUAGAUAUCGGGAAGAACACCAGUGGCGAAAGCACUCUGCUGGGCCGAAACUGACACUGAGAGACGAAAGCUAGGGAGCGAAUGGG